ACGAACGCUGGCGGCGUGCUUAACACAUGCAAGUCGAACGGAAAGGCCCUGCUUGCAGGGUACUCGAGUGGCGAACGGGUGAGUAACACGUGGGUGAUCUGCCCUGCACUUCGGGAUAAGCCUGGGAAACUGGGUCUAAUACCGGAUAGGAGCCAUUUUUAGUGUGAUGGUUGGAAAGUUUUUUCGGUGUAGGAUGAGCUCGCGGCCUAUCAGCUUGUUGGUGGGGUAAUGGCCUACCAAGGCGGCGACGGGUAGCCGGCCUGAGAGGGUGGGCGGCCACAUUGGGACUGAGAUACGGCCCAGACUCCUACGGGAGGCAGCAGUGGGGAAUAUUGCACAAUGGGCGCAAGCCUGAUGCAGCGACGCCGCGGGGGGGAUGACGGCCUUCGGGUUGUAAACUCCUUUCGCUAGGGACGAAGCUUUUUGUGACGGUACCUAGAUAAGAAGCACCGGCUAACUACGUG
rnacentral:rRNA from 1 species